rnacentral:rRNA from 1 species
GAUGAACGCUGGCGGCGUGCCUAAUACAUGCAAGUCGAGCGAACGGACGAGAAGCUUGCUUCUCUGAUGUUAGCGGCGGACGGGUGAGUAACACGUGGAUAACCUACCUAUAAGACUGGGAUAACUUCGGGAAACCGGAGCUAAUACCGGAUAAUAUUUUGAACCGCAUGGUUCAAAAGUGAAUGACGGUCUUGCUGUCACUUAUCGAUGGAUCCGCGCUGCAUUAGCUAGUUGGUAAGGUAACGGCUUACCAAGGCAACGAUGCAUAGCCGACCUGAGAGGAUGAUCGGCCACACUGGAACUGCGAAACGGUGCAGACUCCUACGGGAGGCAGCAGUAGGGAAUCUUCCGCAAUGGGCGAAAGCCUGACGGAACAACGCCGCGUCAGUGAUGAAGGUCUUCGGAUCGUAAAACUCUGUUAUUAGGGAAGAACAUAUGUGUAAGUAACUGUGCACAUCUUGACGGUACCUGAUCAGAAAGCCACGGCUAACUACGUG